rnacentral:rRNA from 1 species
CACAUGACUCUCGGCAACGGAUAUCUUGGCUCUCGCAUCGAUGAAGAACGUAGCAAAAUGCGAUACCUGGUGUGAAUUGCAGAAUCCCGUGAACCAUCGAGUUUUUGAACGCAAGUUGCGCCCGAGGCCUCCUGACCGAGGGCACGUCUGCCUGGGCGUCACGCCA